GUGCUUGCUUUGUCAGCACAUCCACUAAAAUUGGAACAAUACAGAGAAGAUUAGCAAGGCCCCAGUGCAAGGAUGACAGACAAAUUCUUGAACUGUUCUGUAUUUUU